rnacentral:lncRNA from 1 species
AAAACAAACUAGAGGCUCUAAAGAGCCUGUGUCGCUCACCUUGGUCUAUGUGAAUAUUAAACAAAGGAAGCAGAUGGAUUCAUGACAAAAUUGUGUUUUGGUGAUGGUGAUGUGUUUGUACAUCUUACUUUACUGAACAUUCUUGCUACUUACAAUUAUCUCUAUCUAUAAUGAACUUGGCCCAGUAGUUUCAGUGGAAAUGUUAGUUAAAAUUUACAAAUUUUAUGAAAAUUGUUAAAAAUUGACUAUAAAGGACAAUAACUCCUUAGGGGUCAAUUGACCAUUUCCGUCAUGUUGACUUAUUUAUAAAUCUUUCUUUGCUUAACAUUAUUGAUGUUUACAGUUUAUCUCUAUCUAUAAUAAUAUUCAAGAUAAUAACUAAAAACAGCAAAAUUUCC